ensembl:lincRNA
AUGCUUUUCUGGCUGAACAAGAUGAGAGAGUGCCCAGCGUCUUUUCUAAACCAGAAAGAGGCUGACAAGAGCAGCAGUCACCUCAGCCCAGUGGCCGCACAUGACGCCCAGAUGUGUCAACAUCAGAGGAACAGGUCAGAGCUCCUGCACACGAGGCAUGUCUCUGACAGACAAGGGAUCACCACAGCUGAUAGCAAGUGGCCUCCACGUCCCAAGAAAGCAAAAGAAAAGGCCUUGCCCCCACAAGACCCAGCCAAGGCCCUAUACACAACUCAGGUGGCAGUGGGAUCCAGAGGGCCCUGGGGUAGGCACCUCAACACAGCUGCUGGCCCAAGAGGCACGAGCACCCCAGAGCCUCCCUCAGCCCUCGAGAGUGCCCCCACUCUCCAUCCUACCUGCGCCUGCUCACAAAUAGAGAAGUGGACAGAUGGAAAUGCUCUGGUCUCUGCCCCGACAGAAAACACUCUGCUGACCACUCUGCUCAGCAGGAGACACUCAGCCACACCCAGCCCGCCUCCCACAGCCCACCCGCUGAGGCCGGUGCCCAGUCACUGCCCCACAGGGAGCCGAGGCACGGGUGCGUUGCUAAAAGGGGCUCGGAGAGAAAGCCCCUCUCCUCGAGUCAGCUCCGGGAACUCCUCAGCAAACAUGUGGGGAGACUUCCCUCCUUCAUGCCCACCUCCACGAGGCACCUGCUGUUUCUGCCUCCACAGGGCUCCAGGAGGCUUCAUGGCUGUUCACGGAAUGGGUCCCAGGGCUCUCCUCAACCGUACCACCAAGGGAGGCUGGAGGUCACUUGGGACAGACUCCAUUCAGCCUAGAGAAACCCUGCCAGCCACGUCCAGACGCCUCCCUCCCCACCCUCAUCUGACUGAAGCCCUGUGCUCCCUCCUCAGCUGCUGCCCCAGGCCCAGCGCUUCUGCAGAGGUCACAGCUCUCAUGGGUAGGACACCUGUUUCUGCACCUCACCCCACUGCCCAGGCUGUGGGGGGAUGCAAAACGCUCCAACGGCCCAUCAGGCGCCAAGGGAAGGGCCACCUUGAGGCGGCCCCUUCAGCCCACGCCACGCCACCCCGCCCAGGCUGAUGCCCUCACCUGAUGGCCGUGGAGUGUGUAGAGCAGCCGGCCCUCCAUGAGGUCCAGGAUCUUCAGGGUUGAGUCGCUGGAGGCCGUGACCAGGUAGUUCCCCGACGGGUGGAAGGAGAGGGCAUUCACCGCCGCACUGUGCACUGGGGGAAGGACGGCAGUCAGGCGCAGGCUGGGAGGCCCGUGAAGCCAGAAGACAGCACGCGGGGCCAGCCAGGGCAGCCAGCAUCCCGAGCUGCCGUGAGGAGUCUCCCAAGGACUUUCCAGGAGGGCAGCACAAGCAAAGGACAGGAGGCGGCCCACCCAGAGCCGAGGGCAGGCCACGGCAGACGCAGGGCAGAUGGGAGCCCAGGGGAAAGGCCAGGGGAUCAAGCCAUCCCUCUGCCUCUCCCUCCUCACCAAGCCAUCAAGCUGGAGACGGACAGAGUGCUUGAACAUGACCCUCACUAGGCCUCACAUGCUGCCACUUCAGGGAAACCAAAUGGAAAAGAGAACCUCUGACAUGCCAAUACGAUGCCCCUCAUUUCAGUUCAGUUCAGUCGCUCAGUCGUGUCUGACUCUUUGCGACCCCAUGAAUCACAGCUCGCCAGGCCUCCCUGUCCAUCACCAACUCCCGGAGUUCACUCAGACUCGCGUCCAUCGAGUCCGUGAUGCCAUCCAGCCAUCUCAUCCUCGGUCGUCCCCUUCUCUCCUGCCCCCAAUCCCUCCCAGCAUCAGAGUUUUUUCCAAUGAGUCAACUCUUCUCAUGAGGUGGCCAAAGUACUGGAGUUUCAGCUUUAGCAUCAUUCCUUCCAAAGAAAUCCCAGGGUUGAUCUCCUUCAGAAUGGACUGAUUGGAUCUCCUUGCAGUCCAAGGGACCUUCAAAAGUCUUCUCCAACACCACAGUUCAAAAGCAUCAAUUCUUCGGCGCUCAGCCUUCUUCACAGUCCAACU